GAGAAUGAUACUCUAGGAGGAUCUCUGGGAGCAGUUGGGUGACACCUGUUGGUUUGGAACCUAGGAAAAGGGCAAUGAAGUCAGAACCGAAGGAAAUAUGCGUAGAAGUCUGACUUGUUCCUUUUGUAUUUUAGUAAGAUAGAGAUGAGACAAUACAUGUCCAUGGACUUUAUGUGCUGUGUUUGUAACCAUUUUUUUUCUUGCUCUGGUGUUUAAUGGUUACCUUUCCACAAGACCAGUUUUUCCUAUGUCACAGCAAACAUCAAAGCCCUGAUUUUUGAUUGGUUAGUAUCUUCUGGGACUUGGGAAUGCAAGAGUCUUAUUAGGUCUGGGCACUGGCUAAGAUGCAAG
rnacentral:lncRNA from 1 species